rnacentral:tRNA from 1 species
GGGGAUUUAGCUCAGUUGUAGAGUGCUUGCCUAGCAAGCACAAGGCCCUGGGUUCGGUCCCCAGCUCCG